rnacentral:rRNA from 1 species
AGCUACGGCUGCGUGGCAAGUUGGUACACCCGAUCCCGCGAUCUCGGAAGUUAAGCAACGAGCUGUCCAGACAGUACUUGGAUGGGGGACCAACCAAGGACGUCCGGAUUUCUGUAGCCU